UUAAGCGACUAAGCGUACACGGUGGAUGCCCUGGCAGUCAGAGGCGAUGAAGGACGUGCUAAUCUGCGAUAAGCGUCGGUAAGGUGAUAUGAACCGUUAUAACCGGCGAUUUCCGAAUGGGGAAACCCAGUGUGAUUCGUCACACUAUCAUUAACUGAAUCCAUAGGUUAAUGAGGCGAACCGGGGGAACUGAAACAUCUAAGUACCCCGAGGAAAAGAAAUCAACCGAGAUUCCCCCAGUAGCGGCGAGCGAACGGGGAGCAGCCCAGAGCCUGAAUCAGUGUGUGUGUUAGUGGAAGCGUCUGGAAAGGCGUGCGAUACAGGGUGACAGCCCCGUACACAAAAAUGCACAUACUGUGAGCUCGAUGAGUAGGGCGGGACACGUGGUAUCCUGUCUGAAUAUGGGGGGACCAUCCUCCAAGGCUAAAUACUCCUGACUGACCGAUAGUGAACCAGUACCGUGAGGGAAAGGCGAAAAGAACCCCGGCGAGGGGAGUGAAAAAGAACCUGAAACCGUGUACGUACAAGCAGUGGGAGCACGCUUAGGCGUGUGACUGCGUACCUUUUGUAUAAUGGGUCAGCGACUUAUAUUCUGUAGCAAGGUUAACCGAAUAGGGGAGCCGAAGGGAAACCGAGUCUUAACUGGGCGUUAAGUUGCAGGGUAUAGACCCGAAACCCGGUGAUCUAGCCAUGGGCAGGUUGAAGGUUGGGUAACACUAACUGGAGGACCGAACCGACUAAUGUUGAAAAAUUAGCGGAUGACUUGUGGCUGGGGGUGAAAGGCCAAUCAAACCGGGAGAUAGCUGGUUCUCCCCGAAAGCUAUUUAGGUAGCGCCUCGUGAAUUCAUCUCCGGGGGUAGAGCACUGUUUCGGCAAGGGGGUCAUCCCGACUUACCAACCCGAUGCAAACUGCGAAUACCGGAGAAUGUUAUCACGGGAGACACACGGCGGGUGCUAACGUCCGUCGUGAAGAGGGAAACAACCCAGACCGCCAGCUAAGGUCCCAAAGUCAUGGUUAAGUGGGAAACGAUGUGGGAAGGCCCAGACAGCCAGGAUGUUGGCUUAGAAGCAGCCAUCAUUUAAAGAAAGCGUAAUAGCUCACUGGUCGAGUCGGCCUGCGCGGAAGAUGUAACGGGGGCUAAACCAUGCACCGAAGCUGCGGCAGCGACGCUUAUGCGUUGUUGGGUAGGGGAGCGUUCUGUAAGCCUGUGAAGGUGUGCUGUGAGGUAUGCUGGAGGUAGUCAGAAGUGCGAAUGCUGACAUAAGUAACGAUAAAGCGGGUGAAAAGCCCGCUCGCCGGAAGACCAAGGGUUCCUGUCCAACGUUAAUCGGGGCAGGGUGAGUCGACCCUAAGGCGAGGCCGAAAGGCGUAGUCGAUGGGAAACAGGUUAAUAUUCCUGUACUUGGUGUUACUGCGAAGGGGGGACGGAGAAGGCUAUGUUGGCCGGGCGACGGUUGUCCCGGUUUAAGCGUGUAGGCUGGUUUUCCAGGCAAAUCCGGAAAAUCAAGGCCGAGGCGUGAUGACGAGGCACUACGGUGCUGAAGCAACAAAUGCCCUGCUUCCAGGAAAAGCCUCUAAGCAUCAGGUAACAUCAAAUCGUACCCCAAACCGACACAGGUGGUCAGGUAGAGAAUACCAAGGCGCUUGAGAGAACUCGGGUGAAGGAACUAGGCAAAAUGGUGCCGUAACUUCGGGAGAAGGCACGCUGAUACGUAGGUGAAGCGACUUGCUCGUGGAGCUGAAAUCAGUCGAAGAUACCAGCUGGCUGCAACUGUUUAUUAAAAACACAGCACUGUGCAAACACGAAAGUGGACGUAUACGGUGUGACGCCUGCCCGGUGCCGGAAGGUUAAUUGAUGGGGUUAGCGCAAGCGAAGCUCUUGAUCGAAGCCCCGGUAAACGGCGGCCGUAACUAUAACGGUCCUAAGGUAGCGAAAUUCCUUGUCGGGUAAGUUCCGACCUGCACGAAUGGCGUAAUGAUGGCCAGGCUGUCUCCACCCGAGACUCAGUGAAAUUGAACUCGCUGUGAAGAUGCAGUGUACCCGCGGCAAGACGGAAAGACCCCGUGAACCUUUACUAUAGCUUGACACUGAACAUUGAGCCUUGAUGUGUAGGAUAGGUGGGAGGCUUUGAAGUGUGGACGCCAGUCUGCAUGGAGCCGACCUUGAAAUACCACCCUUUAAUGUUUGAUGUUCUAACGUGGACCCGUGAUCCGGGUUGCGGACAGUGUCUGGUGGGUAGUUUGACUGGGGCGGUCUCCUCCUAAAGAGUAACGGAGGAGCACGAAGGUUGGCUAAUCCUGGUCGGACAUCAGGAGGUUAGUGCAAUGGCAUAAGCCAGCUUGACUGCGAGCGUGACGGCGCGAGCAGGUGCGAAAGCAGGUCAUAGUGAUCCGGUGGUUCUGAAUGGAAGGGCCAUCGCUCAACGGAUAAAAGGUACUCCGGGGAUAACAGGCUGAUACCGCCCAAGAGUUCAUAUCGACGGCGGUGUUUGGCACCUCGAUGUCGGCUCAUCACAUCCUGGGGCUGAAGUAGGUCCCAAGGGUAUGGCUGUUCGCCAUUUAAAGUGGUACGCGAGCUGGGUUUAGAACGUCGUGAGACAGUUCGGUCCCUAUCUGCCGUGGGCGCUGGAGAACUGAGGGGGGCUGCUCCUAGUACGAGAGGACCGGAGUGGACGCAUCACUGGUGUUCGGGUUGUCAUGCCAAUGGCACUGCCCGGUAGCUAAAUGCGGAAGAGAUAAGUGCUGAAAGCAUCUAAGCACGAAACUUGCCCCGAGAUGAGUUCUCCCUGACCCUUUAAGGGUCCUGAAGGAACGUUGAAGACGACGACGUUGAUAGGCCGGGUGUGUAAGCGCAGCGAUGCGUUGAGCUAACCGGUACUAAUGAACCGUGAGGCUUAACCUU
rnacentral:rRNA from 1 species